GGAGUGGGAGGGAUGCAGGGGGUGAAGGGUCCCGGGAGGAGCCGCCCGUCCUUAUUAUCUCGUCCUUAUUUAAACUAAAGCUUGUUUUGUUUGGAGAGGGCUUUUCUGUGGAGGGGGAGGCAAAGGCUGAAAAUAGAAGCCGGAGAGUUUCCUUCUGCCGGCACGCUGACCAUCCCGGUAAACUUUCCAUCUGAUGGAAUCGCUCGCUCCCAGUCUCCCUGCGGAUGGGGCCAUCGACGCUUUCUGCUAAACGCACAAACAGCCUGGCUGGGUCUCGGGCAGCGGUGGGCCCUUGCUGGUCUCAGCACCCCGUGCCAGUGCUGCUAGCCACACUGGUGUCUUUGGUGGCCAUUGGUGCUGGGUUAGGCAAGUUGGUGCAAGGCAGGUGCCGUGGUCGCUGCCUGCGGUCUGCGGUGCACCCAGCUUGCUGCGGCAGGCUCCCGCGUGAGCCUGGUCCCAGGCUGUGGCAAAGCUGUCGGCUCGGUUUUUAAGACUGUACAAUGGCAUCAUUUGUACAGAGUGUCUUGUGGGCAUGUGGACGGUGACAGGUUGUGUAAGCACUUGUUUGGGUUUUCUGGCCAUGCUGCGGUGCUGUAGCAGGGACACGCUGUCUGUCUGCCCGCGCUGGUGGAGAACACAGAGCUCUGGUGGAGAAGGAAAACACGAUUCCCUAAAGCUGCAGGGUCGCUGCUGCUCUUUUGUGUUAUGUUAGCAGGGUAAAGGAAUAAUGGGCUUAUCCUCACGCCAGCCAGUGUUUGGGUUUGGCAGCUGGCGGGCACCGCAGUCGUCUGGCCGAGCAGCAUGCCCCAGGUAGAUGAGGGAUGCCCCACUGACGCACCGAUGGCUCACGCUCGGGGUGCACGGCAGGCAGAGAGCGGGUGUCUGGCCCUCAUCUCGAGUCCCCAUGACUCAGCAGCAACGUCUGCCACCAAAACAACGUUGCAUGAGGUCACAGCCAGGAAAGAUCCUGAAGGAGAAGCGCAUGGCAGCGGGUCUGUGCCGGGGGUGUGCAGAUGUGGGCUUCGGCUGCGCUGAAGCAUGUGGGGCGAGAGGGGAACGGCUCCAGGCUAGGGGAGGGCAGGACGUGGGCAGGGGAUGCCAGCCUCCUCUUGCAUGCCAGAAGCGAAGCUGUGGCACGCACAACACCCGUGUGCGCGGAUCUCUUGCUGUUUGUGCUGGCAGUCGUGUUCAGUCGCCGAGGAUCCCUCACAACACCAAACCAAGGCGGGGGUGCUUGGGAAGCUCGCCAUGCUCCUGGCCAUGGGCGAACCAUAGCGGCAGCCCAGCUGCAGCCCACAUGCUGCGUGCUGACUUGCCCGGCCCUAACCCCUGGGCUGGCACGGCUGCGUGGCGGAUGCCUGGUAGCCACCACCGGCACAGGCAGUGCCCCAGCGCUCGCUGCCGGAGGGAGCCCGGAUUAUCCGGGGGCAGCUCUGAACUUGUAAUCUGUGGUCUGAAGUUAGCAGUUGCUCUGAGGGAGACAGUAAAUGGAGCAAAAGGAGGAGAAGGGCUGUUCCUUCCCAGCGAGCAGCAAACAACCUGUGUUGGCAGAUGCCAAACCAGAGCCUUCCGUGCCAGAUUCAGAUGGGACGCAGCAGUGCCAUUUGCCAUGGGGCCUGGGGCAUGCCGGAGAGGCAAUAGCACAUUCGGAGAUGGAAACCAAGUGCCAGGUUCCCAUCUGUGAGCCAGAUGGAAAAGAAGGAUACUUGUUUUGUUUUAAAAUUGUCAUGGACAUUUAGAAAAAAUGCUGAAUUUGGUUUUAAAACAAGGAAAACAGUCGCUGAUGAAACCCUGAAAAGAAGCAGUCUAGUUAAACUUGAGAUGAUUAUUUUUGUACCCGUUUUUCUCUGUAUUAGGAAAGACAAGCCAGGACAUGCCUUCAGAAAAGCUCAGUGAAAAAACAUCUUCAGUUUAAGGACUCAAUUGAGGAGCAAAACUUGAUGGUACAGGAUUAAGCGCUGGAGGUUGUAUUUGACUUGUGCAGUUGCAUCAAAUCUUAUUACCGCUGCUUGAAAGGAACAGGCUGGGUGAUGCCAGCUCAGCACCGGUGUUACUUGGUCUGCAGGGACAUGUUAAACCCUGGGAACAGAGGAUCCCAGACUCAGUCAUCUGCUCGGUCUUAAAACAGAGAUGAUGGCGGAAAAGUGAAUGUGUGCACAGCGCAGGUGAAAAACGUGAUCAUCGGGCCAGGGUGAUAAGAAUGAGUCUAUAACAAUGCUGAGAUCUGACCAUAAUUAGAAGUUCAAGCAUGAGCACCAGUUUCGCUCUCGGGAGCGGCGCGUUAGCGUCCAGUUAAUUCCCUCGAGCCAGGUUGCCUUCCAGCACCUUUCCCCUGCUCCCCGGGGACGCGCUCACUGGGCUGCUCCCUAUCACCAAGGCACAGCACGUACCCCAGGCACCACUGCGAGACCCCUGCAAAGGGCAGGAUGAGUCCCGAAGGCUUUGCUGGGGCUCCUCGCCUCUUGCCUGUGUUACCCUGAUCAGACCUCUGUCCCAGCCCUGGCACCGACUUCACUGAGAAGGCAGAAACCAGAAGUUUUGGGACUGGCAGAGGACUAGCAUCCUUGAACAUACCACAGCCCCGCCGACCCGUGUGCUCCCAUCCACCUUAUCAUACACAGCGAAGAUAAACACGGGUGCACACCCAGGCCAGCCCACGCCUCACCACCUCUCCCUUCCCAGCAGGGACAAGAAAAUAUUUUGCAGAAAUGCCAGCCGUAGGUUUUAGGGGUUUUUUUGUUCUUAAUCAGAUUUAAGAAUUGGAGGCAUGUUUCAGUCCUCAAAUCUCCAUGUUCCCGUGUUAAAGACCCUGUGUGUGUUUCUCGGGAAGAGGCACAGGCUGUGUUUUUAAUCUCGAUUCAUCUCUUUUUGUCGCAGAGCUGGUGGUACUUUGCAAGCCGGGCAAAGGGCAGAGGUACCCGGCUCCCCACCGCUGGCAACGUACCUUCAUUCUGCCUGAAAUUAGGCAUUGGUUGCAUCGCUUUCCUAAAUUGUAGUCCAGAGCAAACUGCAUCGAACCACACCACAUCCCCCCUUGCUUUGGGGUUUACUUCUGCUUGUUCGACAGCAGCAGCGGAGCCCGGCGGUGCUGUUUGGUUUGAUGUUGGCAGGCGCAGCGCUGUCAGAUGGCAUCUGGGUCUCUUUGUAAUGCAAGAGUUGCUCCUUUUUGUUGCCUGCAGCUGAGCUGAGGAGCCCGAGCAGCCCAGAGCGGCGGUUUCUGGUCCAUCACCCUGCCUUUGCCUGGGCUCCGCACCGCUUGCCGAGACAG